GACAGAGGAUGCAAGCGUUAUCCGGAAUGAUUGGGCGUAAAGCGUCUGUAGGUGGCUUUUCAAGUCCGCCGUCAAAUCCCAGGGCUCAACCCUGGGCAGGCGGUGGAAACUACCAAGCUAGAGUACGGUAGGGGCAGAGGGAAUUUCCGGUGGAGCGGUGAAAUGCAUUGAGAUAGGAAAGAACACCAACGGCGAAAGAACUCUGCUGGGCCGACACUGACACUGAGAGACGAAAGCUAGGGGAGCAAAUGGG
rnacentral:rRNA from 1 species